UAGUCCCAACCGUAAACGGUGCACACUUGGUGUAGAGGGAAUUGACCCCCUCUGUGCCGGAGCUAACGCGUUAAGUGUGCCGCCUGGGGAGUACGGCCGCAAGGCUAAAACUCAAAGAAAUUGACGGGGGCCCGCACAAGCGGAGGAGCAUGUGGCUUAAUUCGAUGCAACGCGAAGAACCUUACCAGGGCUUGACAUAUACCUGCACGCCCCGUGAAAGCGGGGAAGCCUUCGAGGGUGGUAUACAGGUGCUGCAUGGCUGUCGUCAGUUCGUGCCGUGAGGUGUUGGGUUAAGUCCCGCAACGAACGCAACCCUUGUGUUUAGUUGCCACUCCUGGUGUUAAGCCAGGAAGCACUCUAAACAGACUGCCCGUGCAAGCGGGAGGAAGGUGGGGAUGACGUCAAGUCAGUAUGGCCCUUACGCCCUGGGCUGCACACGUGCUACAAUGACAGGUACAGUGGGAAGCAAUACCGCGAGGUGGAGCAAAUCCUCAAAACCUGCCCCAGUUCGGAUAGG
rnacentral:rRNA from 1 species